UACGGAGGGUGCAAGCGUUAUCCGGAUUCACUGGGUUUAAAGGGUGCGUAGGUGGCGCGUUAAGUCCGUUGUGAAAGCCCUGGGCUCAACCCAGGAACUGCUUCGGAUACUGGCGCGCUUGAGGCUAGUAGGGGUCACUGGAACUGACGGUGGAGCGGUGAAAUGCGUAGAUAUCGUCAGGAACGCCAAUGGUGAAGACAGGUGACUGGGCUAGUUCUGACACUGAGGCACGAAAGCGUGGGGAGCGAACGGG
rnacentral:rRNA from 1 species